rnacentral:rRNA from 1 species
GUGCCAGCAGCCGCGGUAAUUCCAGCUCCAAUAGCGUAUAUUAAAGUUGUUGUGGUUAAAAAGCUCGUAGUUGAACCUUGGGCCUGGCUGGCCGGUCCGCCUCACCGCGUGCACUGGUCCGGCCGGGCCUUUCCCUCUGUGGAACCCCAUACCCUUCACUGGGCGUGGCGGGGAAACAGGACAUUUACUUUGAAAAAAUUAGAGUGCUCCAGGCAGGCCUAUGCUCGAACACAUUAGCAUGGAAUAAUAAAAUAGGACGCGCGGUUCUAUUUUGUUGGUUUAUAGGACCGCCGUAAUGAUUAAUAGGGACAGUCGGGGGCAUCAGUAUUCAACUGUCAGAGGUGAAAUUCUUGGAUCAGUUGAAGACUAACUACUGCGAAAGCAUUUGCCAAGGAUGUUUUCAUUAAUCAGGAACGAAAGUUAGGGGAUCGAAGACGAUCAGAUACCGUCGUAGUCUUAACCAUAAACUAUGCCGACUAGGGAUCGGACGGUGUUAUUCAUGACCCGUUCGGCACCUUACGAGAAAUCAAAGUGCUUGGGCUCCAGGGGGAGUAUGGUCGCAAGGCUGAAACUUAAAGAAAUUGACGGAAGGGCACCACCAGGGGUGGAGCCUGCGGCUUAAUUUGACUCAACACGGGGAAACUCACCAGGUCCAGACACAAUAAGGAUUGACAGAUUGAGAGCUCUUUCUUGAUUUUGUGGGUGGUGAUGCAUGACCGUUCUUAGUUGGUGGGGUGACUUGUCUGCUUAAUUGCGAUAACGAACGAGACCUUAACCUGCUAAAUAGCCCGCAUUGCUCCGGCAGUGCCGCUGGCCU